GAAAUGCGAUAAGUAGUGUGAAUUGCAGAAUUCAGUGAAUCAUCGAAUCUUUGAACGCACAUUGCGCCCCUCGGUAUUCCGUGGGGCAUGCCUGUUUGAGUAUCAUGAAAUCUUCAAAGUAAAUCUUUUGUUAACUCAAUUGGUUUCUACUUUGGUAUUGGAGGUCUUUGCAGCUUCACACCUGCUCCUCUUUGUUUAUUAGCUGGAUCUCAGUGUUAUGCUUGGUUCCACUCGGCGUGAUAAGUUAUCUAUCGCUGAGGACACUGUAAAAGGUGGCCAAGGUAAAUGCAGAUGAACCGCUUCUAAUAGUCCAUUGACUUGGACAAUACUUUUAUGAUCUGAUCUCAAAUCAGGUAGGACUACCCGCUGAACUUAAGC
rnacentral:misc_RNA from 1 species